rnacentral:lncRNA from 1 species
ACGUGUAGUCUCCAUUGUUGAAUCUCCUUAAAAUUGUUGGUGUAUAUAUUCAAAAAAUAGAGGUUAGCUACAAAAUAAUUUAAAAAAUAUCAACGAGUUGAUCAAGCCGAGGCACGGAUAUCUUGCUCUCUUUAAGGAGAUUCAAGCCCUCUGCGGUUGGCAAAGCCUUUGAACCGAUGCAAUAGAGCACUAACUUGUUCCCUCCAGGAUACAACAGCUCGACCCUCGUCGUGUGGCUUCACCAACUCUGCACAAGUAGAUGAGCCCAAAGCUCCACCAAAAGAAACACCUUUCUUUGACCUUCUUUCUCUCAAGUAUAAUUAAAAUAACUUGUUGUUUGAUGAGUUGUGUGUCAGAAUCGAGAAAAAGAGCCCUCUAUAUAUAGGCUCAUAGGAUAGGAGUUACUAGAAUUUAAAAAGCCAUAGGUUACAUAGCAUUUAGUUGAGUUCAUAGUGCAUAGGAGUUUAACGAAAGCGUAGGUUAGGUUACAAGCAAAGUAAAGAGAGUAACUUAAUGCAAGAGUAUAGGUUAUCAAAAGAUUAUUAAAAUCAUAUUAAUAAUAAAAUGUUACAACAGUCGCUAUAUACCAUUUUUGUUGUAGUGGAUCAUUUGACGAAUAUCACACCAACUCCAUUUUUUUUUUCGUGCCAUUCAUCUUAAUU